rnacentral:rRNA from 1 species
AUGUGGAUGGUGCACUUCGAAGUGUCUGGAGUGGUGGUGGUGGAUGUGGAUCUGGAGAAAUCCCUGUCGGCCUGUCGACACCGAUGCGAUGACGCCUGCGGGCGCCGUCGGACCUUCCUGAGGGGCAUCGGGUAUAUCCCUUCUCCACUAUCCCUCGCGUACCGGGGAAACCCUAGAACUUGUUCGGGCAACAGCGGUGGCAUCGUCGCAUUCUUUCUUGAAGGUGUUAUUUGGUGCGCGGCGCUUCGGGAUGCUGGAAGCAUGGUGGUACUUCUUCGGAGGGUGCAACGGUUGUCGGUCUUCCUUUCUUCGUUGAUCUGCCGGUGUCGGCAUUUAUUUCUCAUUUUUUCUUCUUGUUUUUCUUUUGGACUUUUCUGUACUGUGGCCCCAGCAAGCUGGAUGUAUCGGGUGUUUGCUUUAUAA